CGAACGUUAGUAGUGUGAGCUAGUAAAAGAGAUAAAACGCAUAGAGAGUCAGUGGUUGGUGGAAACUGAUGGUUUGUUUUUUUGAAUCCGUCACAUGAAGUAAACAAUGAACCAAAGCCAACUGAAGAAACGGCUUUGCCUAAAUUGCUUCGGAUCCAGACCGUUAUCUGUUGUAAAGCGUAGAAUCUGUCUGUCUGAUGGUUUCUAAAUUUGGGUGGUACCGCGAACUUCGAGGCCAUUUCGUCCCAUGA
rnacentral:ncRNA from 1 species